CCUACGGGAGGCAGCAGUAGGGAAUCUUCCACAAUGGACGCAAGUCUGAUGGAGCAACGCCGCGUGAGUGAAGAAGGUUUUCGGAUCGUAAAGCUCUGUUGUUGGUGAAGCGGUAAUCAACCAGAAAGUCACGGCUAACUACGUGCCAGCAGCCGCGGUAAUACGUAGGUGGCAAGCGUUGUCCGGAUUUAUUGGGCGUAAAGCGAGCGCAGGCGGAAGAAUAAUCUGAUGUGAAAGCCCUCGGCUUAACCGAGGAACUGCAUCGGAAACUGUUUUUCUUGAGUGCAGAAGAGGAGAGUGGAACUCCAUGUGUAGCGGUGGAAUGCGUAGAUAUAUGGAAGAACACCAGUGGCGAAGGCGGCUCUCUGGUCUGCACUGACGCUGAGGCUCGAAAGCAUGGGUAGUGAACAGGAUUAGAUACCCUUGUAGUC
rnacentral:rRNA from 1 species